rnacentral:rRNA from 1 species
UAAUACAGAGGCCUCGAGCGUUAGGCGGAAUCACUGGGCUUAAAGCGUGUGUAGGUGGAUGCCUAAGUACCUUGUGAAAUCCCACGGCUUAACCGUGGAAUGGCUGGGUAUACUGGGCGUCUUGAGCCACUCAGGGGCUACCGGAACAAACGGUGGAGCGGUGAAAUGCGUAGAUAUCGUUUGGAACGCCAAUGGUGAAAACAGGUAGCUGGGGGUGUGCUGACACUGAGACACGAAAGCCAGGGGAGCGAACGGGAUUAGAUACCCCGGUAGUCCUGGCCCUAAACGAUGUCCACUAGAUCGUGGCGGUUCUAACGCCGUCAUGGUCGAAGCAAAAGUGCUAAGUGGACCGCCUGGGAAGUACGGUCGCAAGGCUA